CUACGGGCUGCUCCAGUCGAGAAUCGUCUACAAUGGGGGAAACCCUGAUAGUGCGACGCCGCGUGAACGAAGAAGCUUUUCGGAGUGUAAAGUUCUUUUCUGUAUGAGCAAUGCUUUAUUGUUUAAGAGAUAAUAGAGAGAGAUAUUAGUACAGGAAUAAGCCACGGCUAACUCCGUGCCAGCAGCCGCGGUAAUACGGGGGUGGCAAGCGUUGUCCGCAUUUACUAGGCGUAAAGGGCAGGUAGGCGGAUAUUCAAGUCAGGCGUUAAAGGCAUCGGCUCGACCGGGGUACGGCGUUUGAAACUGGAUAUCUGGAGUCAGGUAGAGGUAGAUGGAAUUCCUAGUGUAGCGGUGGAAUGCGCAGAGAUUAGGAAGAACACCAAAGGCGAAGGCAAUCUACUGGGCCAUGACUGACGCUAAACUGCGAAGGUGUGGGUAUCAAACAGGAUUAGAUACCCUGGUAGUC
rnacentral:rRNA from 1 species